rnacentral:rRNA from 1 species
GACGAACGCUGGCGGCGUGCUUAACACAUGCAAGUCGAACGGAAAGGCCCUGCUUUUGUGGGGUGCUCGAGUGGCGAACGGGUGAGUAACACGUGAGUAACCUGCCCUUGACUUUGGGAUAACUUCAGGAAACUGGGGCUAAUACCGGAUAGGAGCUCCUGCUGCAUGGUGGGGGUUGGAAAGUUUCGGCGGUUGGGGAUGGACUCGCGGCUUAUCAGCCUGUUGGGGGGGUAGUGGCUUACCAAGGCUUUGACGGGUAGCCGGCCUGAGAGGGUGACCGGCCACAUUGGGACUGAGAUACGGCCCAGACUCCUACGGGAGGCAGCAGUGGGGAAUAUUGCACAAUGGGCGGAAGCCUGAUGCAGCAACGCCGCGUGCGGGAUGACGGCCUUCGGGUUGUAAACCGCUUUCGCCUGUGACGAAGCGUGAGUGACGGUAAUGGGUAAAGAAGCACCGGCUAACUACGUG